rnacentral:misc_RNA from 1 species
ACAAGAUCACGAUGACCAUCAGA